UUUCACUCAACAUGUCAGUUUGGGUUUGACUUCUUCUGUCCUGGUAGUCUGGAAUAGUACAAUGCUUCAUGCGGAAGAUGACACCCUUACAUCCUAAAAAAUGUGUUGCUUCUUUAUGUAGCAUCUUUUUUUUUUUCUUUUUUUCUUUUAAUCUUGUGGAAGCCAUAUAGCUUUAUCCCCUAUUUUGUGUAACCUUGAAGAAAUUACAUCUUUUGUUAGCAUGCACUGUGACAUCAUUUCAGUAAUUUUAUAUGGUUUUAUAAUAAUAAAUAAAUAAGUUUCCCUUAUAGCCCCUCUAUAUUUUAAUGAAAUGCAUUCUAUAAUGUCAUCCUAGCAAUUUUACCUUUAUAUACAUACAGAGGUUUCAGGCAAUUAUUUAGUACUUGAGGUUUUAGGCAAUUGUUUGCUACUCUGGUUAGCUGCUGUCUCAUCAGAUUUGAAGGAAUUGUUCAUGGUUUUCAAUUGGCUUGUGGCAUCCUUGAUGCUACCCUUUCUGGGAGGUUUGAAGAUCAAGAUCCACCAAGUUCUUUCACUCCUAUUGAUGGUUUACAGCUGGUGCCAUUUAGAGCUUUCUAUUUUUAGUGGGCAAGUUUGUGUUGCGCUGUUAUCUUUUGAGUUGAUGAAUAAGUUACAAACGGUCUGUACUUUUCUCACCAGAACAAAGGAAUACACUUAACCGAUGUCCACGAGUAAUGAUAUACACCUGAUGCAAAGUUCUAGUUGGCAAUCUCCACCUCCUAAGAUCUCAUGGAAAGUUUUUGCAUCUCGGCUUUAGUCUUCGUGAUGAUCUUGAGGAGCCAAAGCCUGUAUCUGUAUACUUGCACUGAGGUUUGAGCCUUAGACUGAUCACUGGUGCAAUCAUUUCAGACUUGGCCAGCUGAGAUGACAGAAAGCAAUUCAUCGCAUGGAAGGAUCGAGCUCAGACUGUUGUUGGAUGGAUUUUGUUGGAAAUCUUCAAGAGCUGUGCAUGUGUCACUCGAGAAACUGAAAACUGAUUAGGAGGCAAUGCACAAACCUGAGAGGGCAAUGACAGCAACCAGGUUCAAGGAAAUGGUCACAGUAGUGAUUAUAUACACUAUCUUCAGGCCCUUGUCAAUCAACCGCCUAUUCUUCCUAGCUUGUCUCUCUAUACCUGCAGCUUCAACAUCGAGUUUAUCUGAUGUGGAGAUGGUUCCCGAUGCCUUAUUCGCUGUUUCCAUGAUGAUAUCCACCACCGUUCGAGCUCUGGAAUGGAAUUUCGCAUUCCCUCCAAGAACCAAUCCGGACGCCACUCUGCAAACAAAUCAGGAUCAUAGAUCAUAAGCAGCCAAUGAUUUAUUCCUAAUCAACAUCUAAUGUAUAUCUCCAUCCCCAUAUGUAACUUCAUUCAGAUUUAUUCAAAGAAAUACUUCACUAGAAGUUACAGCUGUGACAAAGAAUUAUACUUUGGUAUUUACUUACAUUGCCAGAAUUGUGAAGAAUGAAGCCAGGAGGAUAUGCCAUAGAUAACACUGCUUGUAGCAGGGUGAUCUCUUCUUCUUCAGCUUUCUCUUGUCCCUUUUACACCAGAUGGUGGUUAUCAGCAGAAAUCCUCCAUAUCCAACACCACACAGAAGCCACACAACUCCAAUGGCAUACCCCGGAACGCCCGUAAAUAUGGUUGACUGUACAAAAUACCGAAUCAGUGAACACUUCUCAUGCAAUUGAAUUCAGUGUUUGUAAUGCAAAUGAUAUAUGAUAACUUUUACACCAAAGCCAUUUAGAACUAAAAAUUUUCUGGGGUUAGGGUGUUACACUCCAGUAAUGCUUGUUUGUGA